CCUACGGGAGGCAGCAGUGAGGAAUAUUGGUCAAUGGUCGGGAGACUGAACCAGCGAAGCCGCGUGAGGGAUGAAGGUACAGAGUAUCGUAAACCUCUUUUGUCAGGGAACAAAGGCGGGGACGCGUCCCCGGAUGAGUGUACCUGAAGAAAAAGCAUCGGCUAACUCCGUGCCAGCAGCCGCGGUAAUACGGAGGAUGCGAGCGUUAUCCGGAUUUAUUGGGUUUAGCGGGGGCGCAGGGGGUCUGUUAAGUCAGCGUUCAAGGCCCGGGGCCCAACCCCGGACCGCCGUUGAAACUGGCAGGCUCGAGUUGGAGAGAGGUAUGCGGAAUGCGCGGUGUAGCGGUGAAAUGCAUAGAUAUCGCGCAGAACUCCGAUUGCGAAGGCAGCAUGCCGGCUCCAAACUGACGCUGAGGCACGAAAGCGUGGGUAUCGAACAGGAUUAGAUACCCCUGUAGUC
rnacentral:rRNA from 1 species